rnacentral:rRNA from 1 species
GACGGGGGGGGCAAGCGUUGUUCGGAAUUACUGGGCGUAAAGGGCGCGCAGGCGGGCGAGCAAGUCUCUCGUGAAAGCCCACGGCUCAACCGUGGAAUUGCGGCGGAAACUACUCGUCUUGAGUCCGGGAGAGGAGGGUGGAAUUCCCAGUGUAGCGGUGAAAUGCGUAGAUAUUGGGAGGAACACCGGUGGCGAAGGCGGCCCUCUGGACCGGUACUGACGCUGAGGCGCGAAAGCUAGGGGAGCAAACGGG